rnacentral:snoRNA from 1 species
UUUCGAGUGGUGAUGAACAAUUGUGUUUUGGACUAGAGUUUCUGAUACUGCUACUUUGUGGUAGUAGUUGAAGACCAAACACUAAUGCAGUAAUGCCUUUAU